GACGAACGCUGGCGGCGUGCUUAACACAUGCAAGUCGAGCGGAAAGGCCACUUCGGUGGUACUCGAGCGGCGAACGGGUGAGUAACACGUGAGUAAUCUGCCCCUGGCUUUGGGAUAGCCACCGGAAACGGUGAUUAAUACCGGAUACGACCACUUCUCGCAUGGGAUGGUGGUGGAAAGGUUUUUCGGCCAGGGAUGUGCUCGCGGCCUAUCAGCUUGAUGGUGAGGUAAUGGCUCACCAUGGCUUCGACGGGUGGCCGGCCUGAGAGGGUGACCGGUCACACUGGGACUGAGACACGGCCCAGACUCCUACGGGAGGCAGCAGUGGGGAAUAUUGGACGAUGGGUGGAAGCCUGAUCCAGCAACGCCGCGUGAGGGAUGACGGCCUUCGGGUUGUAAACCUCUUUCAGCAGGGACGAAGCGCAAGUGACGGUACCUGCAGAAGAAGCACCGGCCAACUACGUGCCAGCAGCCGCAGUAA
rnacentral:rRNA from 1 species